GUCGUCAGCUCGUGUCGUGAGAUGUUGGGUUAAGUCCCGUAACGAGCGCAACCCUUAUUGUUAGUUGCCAGCAUUGAGUUGGGCACUCUAGCAAGACUGCCGGUGACAAACCGGAGGAAGGCGGGGAUGACGUCAAAUCAUCAUGCCCCUUAUGACCUGGGCUACACACGUGCUACAAUGGGAAGUACAACGAGCAAGCCAAGCCGCAAGGCCUAGCGAAUCUCUGAAAGCUUCUCUCAGUUCGGAUUGCAGGCUGCAACUCGCCUGCAUGAAGCCGGAAUCGCUAGUAAUCGCGGAUCAGCAUGCCGCGGUGAAUACGUUCCCGGGA
rnacentral:rRNA from 1 species